CCGUUUACAAUGGGUGGACUAACAAACAUGUAAUUUUAACCAGACAAGUUUGACGUAUAGAAACAGAGGGAUUAAGAAGCCCUGCUCAAUGAGCUUACAGGCUAGAGGGAGUGGGGUAAAGUGACACAAAAGGUAAGGGGAGUAUUAGGGAAGUAGAUUGGUAGAAUAGUAUUCAAUGAAGACCGUGUGGUUUUCUUUGGAGCCAUGACAGUUUAAUUGAUAUGCUUUUGUGAAAAAGAGCAUUUUUUUAAUGAUUUUUUUUUAAUGAGUGGAGACUGGGUGAGUGCUUAACGGAAAACGAAAGGGAGACAAUGAAUGGGAG